rnacentral:rRNA from 1 species
GAUGAACGCUGGCGGCGUGCCUAAUACAUGCAAGUCGAGCGAAUGGAUUAAGAGCUUGCUCUUAUGAAGUUAGCGGCGGACGGGUGAGUAACACGUGGGUAACCUGCCCGUAGGACUGGGAUAACUACGGGAAACCGGAGCUAAUACCGGAUAAUAUGUUGAACGGCAUGGUUCAAAAUUGAAAGCCGGGUUAGGCUGUCACUUAUGGAUGGACACGCGUGGAAUUAGCGAGUUGGUGAGGUAACGGCGCACCAAGGCAACGAUGCGUAGCCGAUCUGAGAGGGUGAGCGGCCACACUGGGACUGAGACACGGCCCAGACUCCUACGGGAGGCAGCAGUAGGGAAUCUUCCGCAAUGGAGGAAAGUCUGACGGAGCAACGCCGCGUGAGUGAUGAAGGCGUUCGGGUCGUAAAACUCUGUUGUUAGGGAAGAACAAGUGCUAGUUGAAUAAGCUGGCACCUUGACGGUACCUAACCAGAAAGCCACGGCUAACUACGUGCCAGCAGCCGCAGUAA